rnacentral:lncRNA from 1 species
AUUCCUGAACGUGAGUUCAAGAGCAAAUGCCUCCUCUUUGGGAAAAGCUCCUACUUGGGAGGGUUUUAAUAUCUUGUGGUUUCAAUCUCUCACAUUUUACUGAACUAUGUCCUUAUUAGGGUCUCAAAUUUCCCGGGCACCACAAGGCUACCCCGGCUCAGAUUUAAUCAGCAGCAGACAUCCAUCAAGAGGACGGAAGGGCCAUCCCUGCCCCCUCGGAGCCCUCCCAUUAAUGAAAUAUUCACCAAGAAAACAGUGCCAGAAUGCAAACAAACAGUAUUGACCAUAUCCUUGCCCCACUUCUAACCUCCUGUGAUCCUUGGCUUCUGUUCAGUAAUUGUAUUUAUUUUGAUUUCAUUAAAAAAUGUGAGAGAUGGAAUUUCACUUAGGCCUGAAGUUCAAAGAUUUAUAGCCCAGAUAUACCAGAGAGAAUUGUCUCAGAGUCUGUAUCAGUUUGGGGUUAGAUGCCCUCAUCUACUUGGGAUGUUUUCCAAAUGUUCCUCGUACUUUCUCAGCAAUUUACAAACAAUUUAGAAGAUACUAUCACCAUCAUCUUUCUCAUCUGAUCUCAAUAAUUGUGCAUUAGGUGUGGUCAGUCUCGUUUUACAAAUCUCAUCUUCUCAUUUCUCCAGAUUUGUGGGAUUAAAGGUAAAAUGCUUCAGACAUAUCACAGAUUGAAAUAAGCAAUUUAUUCCAUUUAUUGACAUCCACAUGAUCCAAGUGCCAGGCCCACAAUGUAAAGAUGAGCCAUAGUCCCAGCAGUGUCAUGGAUAUUACAUGUGUCAGGGAACACAUUCAAUUUUCACUAGUACAAUUUAAAUCAUGAGUCCAAUUAGAAAAUAAUUCACAAGUCUGUGUCACUGGACAUUGUUUAUUUAUUUACUUAUUUUGGUCUUUUUGUCUUUUUUUAGGGCUGCACCCGUGGCAUAUGGAAGUUCCCAGGCUAAGGGUCCAGUCGGAACUGUAGCUGCUGGCCUAUGCCAGAGCCACAGCAACACAGGAUCCGAGACGCAUCUCUGACCUACACCACAGCUCACGGCAACGCCAGAUCCUUAACCCACUGAGUGAAGCCAGGGAUUGAACCUGCAUCCUCAUGGACGCUAGUUGGGUUAAUUAACUGCUGAGCCACAAUGGUAUUUCCUGUCACCGGACAUUGUUACAUAUACUCCCAUGAUUAGAACUCCCAUCACCAUGACUCUCCAUUCUCUAUGCCCCUGAGUCCAUAAACCACAUUGUCUGCACACAGUGGGGUGAGCUGUAACCAAAGCUCCAUUACUGGGUGGCCUUUCAUCCUCCUCCUGAGCCUUAUCUGGCAGGACUCCAUCAGGAGUCAUUUUGGCAUGGCAGGAUGCCAUUCUAAAAAAAAAUGACUGUACCAUAAAACCAUGUAGAAUAUAUUCCAAACUUCUUUUUUUUUUUUUUUUUUUUGUCUUUUGUCGUUGUUGUUGUUGUUGCUAUUUCUUGGGCCACUCCCGCGGCAUAUGGAGGUUCCCAGGCUAGGGGUUGAAUCGGAGCUGUAGCCACCGGCCUACACCAGAGCCACAGCAACGCGGGAUCCGAGCCGCGUCUGCAACCUAUACCACAGCUCAUGGCAACGCCGGAUCGUUAACCCACUGAGCAAGGGCAGGGACCGAACCCGCAACCUCAUGGUUCCUGGUCGGAUUCGUUAACCACUGCGCCACGACGGGAACUCCUAUUCCAAACUUCUAAAGAGAGAUGAGAAAACUUGAAGUUUGGAAGUUUAGUACAUAACCAAAAUGGAGGAGAAUCACGAUUACAUGACCAAGAGCCCCUUUUUAGCUUAGUGAUCAGCAGAUCUGACUGAUAAGUCAAGAGCAUAGGACAGAAAAGCUGAGAUGAGACACUAAGCAUAUCCUCCAGGAACAGGAGCAAGUCAUGUGCUAUGCAGAGACAUGGAUUGAAGACGCCGAGUUUAGAGAACAUAUAUUGAAAAUGAGGACAUAUGGAAAGGAAGCCAUGUGCACCCACAAAGCUGGUCAAGUUCAGUGAAGUCAGUAUUUCAAGUUUGUAUGUGUGUGUCUUGACAGAGUGCCUCAGCUUCCAACAGAGUGCCUGGUGCAUAGGGGCACUUGGUAGCAUUUGCCAGGAGAUAAUACACUGCAGAUGAGUUCCAGGGCAACUGAAUUGCUGGGGCAUCUAGGUCAGAGUGUUUUCUCAAUAAAAGUAGGGUAUUUAAUUUUCAAGUCUUUCUUCAUUAUGGAAGUCUGACUGACACAUUGCAUGAUAAUCAUACAAUAUAACAGCUGUUAUUAUAAUGCUCUUCUUCAGUGUUUUUUUGCCUUUUCUUUUCAUCAUGAAUUGAAAGCAAAAUCCCUAAAGGUAACCUCAGUGAUUUUUUUCCUCUUUCUCUCCUUUGAUUCAUGCUGAGAACAGCUCUGACGUUCAUUGUGGAGGGGAUUGGUUCCCAUUUCCUCUUCCUAUUUUCAUCAGAUGAGGACAAUUUUUAAAGUCCUUAAUUGUUGAGAGUGGGCAUGGUAUUAGCACCAAUUUAUGACUUUAUCCUAAUGCGUCCCAUAUUUAGAGUGACAGACUCUGUGAGAUUUAAGAUUGUGAGACAUAAACAAGGGUGCCAGAGUUAUUUAUGGAGAUGGUCAAUGUCAUCACCCCAUGAUGCCUUCAAAAUUGAACUCACAGCUUUCAGCUAUGAUGAAAUGGCCUCAUUGUUUCUUUCUCUCUUGACGUAUCUGACAAUUCUUCCAUCAUCCUUCUCAUAUAAGAGCUUUAUAAUAAUUAAAUAGAUGCAAGAGCUGACACUUUAGGGGAAAAAUCAACCACAAUUAUAUGGAUAUACUUGGCAAGUAUAAAUGAAGGGAAAAAAAAACAGAAUAUAAAUAUAAAAAAGCAAACACAAGAAAGGGUUCCUAACCACAGAUGUGGACUUCAAAUUUUUUUAGGAAAUCAUUAAGAAUAAAAUUACAUUAAUAUGUUUAAAAUCUCUAUGAAAGUAUUUUCCAGGGAAAGAGAAAUUACCAAGAUUAACUAAAGGAAGAUAAAGCUUGAACAGAGUCAUAGUCAUAGAAAUAAAUGUGACAGGAACAUGGCAGAAUGUUUCUGUGGUGAUAAAACUGUUAUUUUUUUUAAAGAUUGCUACAUUGAGAUAAUCAUUGGGUAAACUGUUCCAGAGAAUAUAUAAAUGUGAAAAAUUUCCCAAAUCACUUUUAAUGUUGGUAUAACAGUGGUAUCUAAAUCUGAAAAUACUAAACCAAAGUAGAAAUCUCUAGGCUGAGCUCAGUUAUAGAUAGCAAGGCAAAAUUUGUAAAUCAGUGACUAGCAAAUAGAAUUGAGGAAAAUACUGAAAGACUAACAUUCCAUGUCUAAGUUUUCCUCUGGAAUACAUUGCCGAUAGGUUAAAAAAAAAUCUGUUAGGAGGCCACCUAAAAUAAAUUGGCCAAAGGGGGAAUGAUACAAGUUCAUUUUAAGAAAUAAAAAAGUUAUGAUUGGAUACAUUUCAACAUAUAUUCUUAAGAAAACUGUAGGUAAAUCAAUAAUGAAAAUGACAAAAAAAUAAAAUCUGAUGAAAUUCACAAGGGGCCAUUAAUUAUAAUGGUGAAAUUCUUGAGGCAUUGCUCUUGAAGUCAUAUGCAAUAAUAGUCUUUUAUUAUUCACCAUUUUCUGGAAGUCCCAGCCACUACACUGAGAUAUGGAGAGGGAAAUAAUGAAUAUACCAAUUACUAAGUAAGUGAAAGGCAGAGAUGUUUGAAUUGGUUGCCUUAUUAAUUUCAAUGGCUUUCUAGUGUUAUAUUCAAAUACAAUAUUUGGCAUUGAAACAUGAAGUUGGGAGCCUUUUCUCCAACAGGAAAAGCAAAUGGUGCCAUAUUCCUCUUUAUUCUCUGUUAUGGGCUGAACUGUGUCUCCAAAAUUCAUAUGUUGAUGUCAUAACCCCCCGGUACCUCAAAUGUGACUGGAUUUAGAAAUACACCCUUUAAGGAGGUAACUAAGUUAAAAUAGUCAGUAGGAUGGGUGCUCAUACAGUAUGACUGGUGUCCCUAUAAGAAGAGAUUAAAAUACAGAGAGAGACUAGACACAUGCACAUACAGAGGGACAAUAAUAUGAACACACAGUGAAAAGGCAGCCCUUGCAAGCCAAGGACAGAAGCCUCAGAAGAUACCAGCCCUGCUGGCACGUUGAUCUUGGACACUGAGCCUCCAGAAAUGGGAGAAAUGAAAUUCUGUUGGUUAAGCCACUAAGACGGUGGUAUUUUGUUACGGCAGCCCGACACACAGUAUAUCCUUUUUCUCACUAAGUUCUUGUGUUUCAGGUGAGGUCCAGUGUCCUUAACCUCAUGGCCUUAGCUCCCAGUGGUAAGAUCGAGUCUUUAUGACCCAAUCUGGUACACAGAUAUUCAGUAGCACAGACCUAGGGAGACAUUUAUGAAUCUCAGUAACUGCCAGUGUGCCUGAUGGAUCUGAUGUCACUCAGUUUUAGAACUCUGUUGCAAACCUAUUAAAUGGCAUCAAAGCUCUUUGAGACCCCAGCAGUUCUUUCAGUGAAAUGGGAGAAGCAGGCAUUUCCUUUCCAAAUUCACACGAACCUCUGUGCUGCAAAAUUCUCAGAUCUAUUUGUCUCUGAUGACUCAUAUGCUGUGGCAAGCAGUGGAUGCUUGGACCUCACUUGGUUCUGUUUCCAAAAGUCCAUCUGAUUUAGUCAAUUGAUUGAGUGUCUUGUCAAACUCUACAUGCUCUAUCUUCCACCCAGCCCCAUAAAGUGGAUUUUAUCAGGUUUUCAGAGACCUUAACCCUCGUUGCCUUUCUUAAACAGCUCUGGCAAGGUACACUCAUGGUGCAAGAAAAAAAGCAUUUCUUAGUUCUGUCUAAGGCACUGAGAACUCCUCCCCAAAUGAAAGACAGUGUUCUAAUGAGGAACAGAUGGAGGACAUAGUGCCUUAGCCAAAAGUCUAGGGAAGUUGAGAAAGAGGAAAAUACCAGUAUUGCCAAAUCCAUCUGAGCUACAAGUUCAAACACAUGUUUCAUUCAACUAUGGUUUGCAUUUUGGUAAUUCAGUAAUUAUGGCAUUGCCCCAUUGAAGAGUUCAUAGUCUUGUAGAGUUAAACAAUAAAUGAAUUUAAUCAAGAAACUGCCACUCUUGAACAUAUUCAACAGAAAUAAAGUCUUCAUUUGUCUUUAGAGCUUAAGUCGCUCUCUUGAAGAGAAACUGCAGUAAUCCAAAUCAAAACCAGUGACCAAUUACCACAUUUCAGCCUAGUGGAAAAAAUAUAAUGUAGAAAGAAACACAUUGAGAGUGUGAUGUCUUUGUUUAUGCAUCAUGCAUACUAGCUUUGCCAUGAAGGCUCUAGGCCAUGUGCUAUGUACCAAGUAUACACAGCAACUGAAGAUUCUUCCACCUCUUUCUUCAUUUGGUGAGAUCUGUGUAGCCUCCAGUCCUUGUUAGUGUGCUUUCCUGUGAAUGGUGCUAAUAGGAGAAAUGACUAGCUGCCUACUGUUCCUGGAAAAAACUUGACAAUAAUAAGAAAAAACUACAAAAGCCGCAAAGUUUCUCUCCCUCGACUUUUUGUGCAGACACCCAUAAAUGAGGGAGGCAAUCCCUCAGGGAGCACUUAGAUUUGAAUGGUGGAAGUCCAUGUACGUAAACCCUUUACCACAAAGCCAAAUCUUUGGAUAUUCAGCAAUGACAAUGAUAUUCACAAGUGACAAGGAGGAAGGGGAGAAGGGAGAAAGGAGCACCUCAGAGGCCCUGGAGUGUCUUAUUCAAACUUUAUCCAUCGUCGGCCUCUCCUUUUUUGAUAGUCCCUCCAUGUCAGUUUUCUGGCCUCAAAUUCUGGAAUUUCCCUGGAGAAGCCAUUUAACAUUGGCAUCAAAUGAAUUGAAAAUAGUCUUUAAAGAAAAUGUUCUUUAAAUGUCUCUGAAUGUUCCAGAUCUUUUUCUCUUAUGUUUAGUCUUUUUUCUAUUAUAAAAGGAAAUCAAGUUC